GCCUAUACUAUUGCUUGCGGCCACGUCAUCAAUUCCGACUACCUAGGCGGUACACAAGCCCCCAGUCUUAAGCGAAGACUUGUCCAGCGAAAAGACUAAGAGGUCACGUCACUACCGAUCUACGUGGCGCUGGGACGGAAUUCCAAACGUUCGUACCCUCUGCUUUUCUGACGCUCCACCAAACUCUUUUUUCCAAUCGCUCGACACGUGGCUUCAUCAACGGUCAUCUUCAGCUGUCGUUUGCGCUUCCAAAAACGUUUGAAAAACCCUUAAACCCCUUCAUUUCUACUGUUUCAUCAUCUCUCUGCAUUCUCAAAACGCUCUGAGUUUUCUUCUGCAAACCCACGACGCUCCUCAACUCUCUCAAUCUCCAACUUCCUUCAACGCUCAUCCGAUCAUCGAAAGGUACCUCUUUUACUUCCUCUGUUGAUAUUUGCUGCAUUUUA
rnacentral:lncRNA from 1 species